CUUGAGCUGAACUUGUAAUGUUGUGACACAGUAACAGUAAGAGAUAGUUAAUAUAUAAUUGUGACAUACUAACUAUGUAUUUAUUGUUCUUUUGAUGAUCAGCUGUGAAUAGUUGUGGUCUGGAGAUCUGGGCUGUCAUCAGAAGCCACCAAGUCCCAUCAAGUUCUGCAACCAACUUACUUGAGCUAAUUGAAGAAACUGAGAGGAGAAGAGUUAACUCACGUCAAUUCUGGAUUUGCUCUGGGUGAUUUACCAGUCCCUAAGGGAGCCAGAGCCAGGAUCUGGAGCUGACACCUUUAUAUGGAGCAGGAGAUGCUUCGAGCAGCCAGCGUGUUUCUCUUUUAGCUUUCUUAUGGUCUGAAAAUACACUUGGGUAUAUUAAUAGGAACCUGUUAGAGCCCACAGUUUGACAUCCCGCUGAUGUGCAGCCCUUCCUGAGAAUCACUGCUUCCCAUUGAUUGCUCAGCACCAUGAGGCAGUUGCUUGAAAGAAUGAAUUGGUCUUAAUGUACAUAAGUUCUGUGAAUUUAGACAUACACAUUUAACUCCCUUGGAACAAGCAUCAGGACAAGAGUCUUUAUGUACUCUAGGUGGUCAGAGCACACUGUCUCAGUUAUUUGUGGUAUCUCAGGAGAUCUCUGUUGUACUCGCUGGAACCAAGUGUGGAAAGGAGGCAAAAAGCCAAGUGGCAGGAUAUCUGCUGAGAAAGCUGAGAAGAUGAGUGUCUCGCAGGAGAAAAUGGAAGACAGCAGAUCUCACAUGACAUCCAAAGAAUACAAGCUACAAAAGGAUCAGCAUCUCGUAGAGAAUUCUAAGAUGUUACAAGACAUUACAAGGCCAGUAUGUGCUUAUGGUCCAUGAAGUGACCGUUCCCCCCAUUCUUGGGCCAGACUCUCACACCUGCCUUCAAACUCUUGAAUUUUUCCAGAGAAAACCAAAAGCAAGAACAAAGAUUCUUUCAAUGUCACCAGCAAGUAAAAAGAAUCAAACCCCAGAGCCAGGGCUCUUACCCAGGGCACACUGAAGUCAAUGGAAUCUUUCCCAUUGAAUGCAGUGGAAGUUGGAUUCUGUCUUUGCAUCCCAGUCACCCUUGUUAGGUUUUUCAUGCAGGAAUAGGGCUUCAGUUUUGAAAACUACAGUCUUCUAAUAGCCACGAAAAUAACUGACUUAAAGAUCCAUGUCAUGGUUGUCUUCUUACUAUUAACAUUUUAGGAGAAAAAAGAUAUCUUCUCUGUAGGCAUUUGAGAUACAGAUUAAAAUUUUCUAUUAAUGUUUGGGGGUUUGUUUAUCUUUAAGAAUUCUGAUCAAAUAAUAUAGUAAAUUUUAUGACAAUUGUCAUAGAAAAAUAACUGACGAUAUAAAAAUAACAGAAGAUGUUCAACACUGGAGCCGAUUAUAUCGGCAUAGUUCAGGUGACUUCAGUAGGCAUGAGGCUAUAGCCCAAAAGUUUCAGAAUACAAACCUCUCCUAUUUAUUAGGCUUCCUAGUAUGGAUAACCUUAUUAAUUCACACUUGAAAAUUAUAUAUAAGGUUGGAAUACUUGAUUUGACAAAUAGAAACCCCCAUCUUUUCUCUCCUGAUCUUUUUCUGCUCCUAUGAAGAAAAUAAAAAUAGGAGAAAAAAAAAAAAAGUAACA
rnacentral:lncRNA from 1 species